UGACCAGGGCAUGGAAAUCAUGAGGCAUGUCCUUUUCAUCAACUUCUGUGCCAUUUAUUGUUGGCUAAGGUUAAGCACACCUGGUUGGUUACUGCGAUUUAGCUGGGCCAUAGUAACUUGUUGUCUCGGUGAACCAUCCUCUUAUUCUCCCCUUCAUUUUCUAAUAAAUACUCAGAUUUUUCUCAAAGGCUUUUUGAAGGCUUUGCCGUGCCCAAGGACUUUUGCUCCUACUUCAUUGUCUCCUAGAUUUAAAAACGAUUUUGCAUCCAGCACAACUUGUUUGCUAUGAGAUGUUACAGUGCCCGCUCUGUGAUGUGGCUCUGUACAGCAGCUCUUCAGAAGAGCUGUGUUAUUUUUUUUCCCCUCUUCUAUCAUUAACUUUAGUUUAUCCAUAACAAGUGCGCUGUCUGCUGUAAAUGUUAGUUGAAGCCUUACCGAGUGGAUAAUGUUUUACAGUCAUCUCUAUCAGCACUUUUUGGUCUCCAGUGAUGCUUAUGGAUGCAUUUCCUCUCGUCUCCUGGAGCAAUAUUUUACUCUUCGGCCAUUUGCUCUGUGACAGUUUCCUUCUGGUUUUUGGAAGAGAUUUUCAGCGAAUUGACUUGGGAGUUAAUACUGACCUGUUUCCUCAGCUUCAACAGCUGCUUGUACCCUGGCUCAUCCUGAUUUGGAAACCAACACUGUAAUGACUUUUCUGUCAACCUUUUGCAGUCAGUAUUCUUGGCCACACGUCAUGCUUUCCUGGAAUAAGCUGCCACGUGAUGUUCUGCAAGCAAGCUGAAACGUGCAUCUAGCCCAGUGGUUGGUUUGGGUCCUAAUGGGGGGUUCUUGUGACCCAGCCAUAGGGACAAGAUGUGUGGCACAGCUCUUCCUUCCUCCCAGCAGAGGAGAGUCAUGGAGAAGACCAAGCAAGUGCCUCCUUGGGACAGCGCUAGCUAUGAACCCGUGUCCUCUUAACUUCAGAGCGUUCCUAGGGGACCACUUCACCUUUUACAGAAUGAUUUAGUGGGAUGUGCGGGGUACAGAACACGAUUCCUGUGAGCCAGGAGGUUCUGGAACAAGGCAGCAAAACUUGCUCGGUGUAGACAAAGCCAUGUGACAGUCCCACCUAACAGCAACCAUGCUACUGGGAACGCAGACAAAGGUGUCACUGUGAUUAAUGGGGCACUCAUCUGAGCACCGCGUCCAGGAGCACAGGUUGCACCUUGCCCUGGUGGCCCGGCUUUUGCAGGCUUUGUCUGCUGUGAGUCCUGCUCAGAAAUGGCUGGAAGGAAUUCAAGGACAGAGGCAAAAAGGUAAAGCAGCCCCGACACGGCAGAGAUGAGAAAUUUUGCACUUUAUCAUAGGCUAAUGGAAACAAUAGCAGGAAUGAAGGCUGACUGGUUGCUUUUCAGAAGCAGAGAGAAUAAAAUGAUGCAUGAAAUAGCAAGAAGCAUCUUUGCCUGAAGACCAGUACGUGUGUCAUUUGAGCUCGGUGUCUUGGUCAUCACAGUCAGUUAGGCUGCCUCCAGUUAUGAAGAGCCAGUGCAACUCCAUGUGCUGCUCUGAUGGCUGUUUCUUGGCAAAUAGAGGUGCUCAGUUGGGAAAGUAGGGUGGUGACGCACUGGAACAGGUUGCCCAAGGAGGUUGUGGAUGCUCUGUCCCUGCAUGCAUUCGAGGCCAGGCUGGAUGUGGCUUUGGGCAGCCUGGUCUGGUGGUUGGCGACCCUGAACAUAGCAGGGGGUUGAAACUCGAUGAUCAUUGUGGUCCUUUUCAACCCAGGCCAUUCUGUGAUUCUAUGAAAAUGCUCUUCUCAAGCAUUUGGCUGAAUUCAAUGUGAUUCGGACACGUUCAUCAGCACGGAGAACGUGGGGGCCCAGGCCCGUGGCAUCCCAGUGAGCUCUGAUAUUUUAAUGGCCACUUUUAUUCAGCCCAUGCAUCUGCCAGCACCGCUUGCCUACUGUAACCAACGUGCUCAUGUCAUCGUUUACCGCUCCUCCAGUAUUUGUGUCAACUGUGAUCUUUUCUGGCAACAAGCUCACGUUUUGCCUUCUACACAGCAGAGAGAAAUCUCCCAACACUGCAAAAAUCUCAGCACCGGACUGAGAACAGAACUCCUGCAGCAGUGGAGGCUCCUCUGCUUGGGAAGAGGCAGGAUUUCUAGUCAGGUCCCCCAGUUCUUCCGCCUCCUUCUUGGCAGCAGUGACGAGAGGGCAAGAGAUCUUUCUGCCAACGUUGUGAAAGCCAUUGUAUGCUAUUGAUAUUUCUAAAUCAGGACACCCCAUUUCCCUCUGUGUCUCACUCCCACCCAAUGCAUGCCCACCCAAUGGAAGGGGUUGGAUGUGACGUGCUCAACAGCACCUCUUCAAUGCAGGAGCAACUUGACUUUUAUUGCCGGUGUCGAGACCAUCUACAAACAUGGAUUUAGCAUCAGCCUCCAGGCUUAAGAUACAGCUGUUGUAUUCUUUUCUUCUUUGUUCCUUUAUUUAUUUAUUUAUUUCCCUCUCUCCUUUGCACUAAUGCAAUGCUUAUUUAGGAACCGCAGCCAUCUGUGUCUGCUAUGGAUGGCACUGUUAAAUUUGCUAUUGCUUUCUUUCCCCUGGUUUGAUGAGACUCUCAGUGCAUAGAAAAUUUCCCAGAGCGGCAGAGACUUUUCUUUGAUUGCUUUUUUGAUUCCCUCCAAAAGAGAUUGCUCACAGUGCUCUUUCUGUCCUGGAAAAAGGUCAGCAGCAGGAGAGCUGAGGAUCCUGCCUUACACUGGGUUAAUGAGGUGAAUUUAUGAAGAGUUGGCCAGGCAAGAAGGUUGGUGAUAUUAGAUUAGAGGUGGUGGUUUUAUCUGCAAAUAAAAAGGGAGGGGAGGAGGAAGGGCUGGGACCGGCGCCCUUCCUGUUCCUCCGAGCAGCUUGUGGCUGAUGGUGAGACAGCUCACAUGGGAAUUGGGAUGGCUGCAGUACUCCAGGGAAUUUUCAGUGUUUUUCAAGUGGAAAAAUUCUGCCUCGACAGAUGGACAGGGCCCUAUCCCAAGUUAACAAUCUGGCGAUCAACGCGCGCAGCGGGAGGCUCAGGCACAGCUCCGUUCCAGCCAGGCAGAGCAAUGAUGGGUGUGUGGUUUCGCCAUCAGGCACUUGGCUAUUUUUGUCAGGCGAGGCAGAAGCUGAUUUCUUCCUGUUUCGUCGCUGAGCUACUUGGAAAUGGCUUGUGUGCACCCUUGUGAGGGGAGGUAAAUCUUAAAAAUAUCUACGGAGAGAAGAAAAAACAUCUCUCGUUUCGGCGAAGCGCUGUAAAGAACGCUGCUCUGGACAGAGCCACCUGUCCUACAGAGCCACCUGUCCUACAAGUUAUUUGCAUUUUAAGACCCUUCUCUUUGAUUUUGUUUUGCUUUUCUCAGUCAGCUAUUCCUUUAAACGUUCCUCCAUGGAACCACAGCUCCUCUUUGCAGCCCAGGCCCUCUGCCUUGCUAGCAGCCCCCUCAUGGGAAGGCUAGUAACAAGUUUAUCUGAAAAUACCAUCUUAUGGGGAAUCGUAGUGCCCAGGCAUCAGUUGCUGGCAUCAGGUGCUGCUUUUUAGUUUGUAGGAGCUGAGGAGCUGGGACUUUUCUGACCAUAAACCCUUUGGAUGACUGUGUUUGAGUACCACGUUCAUUCCUUGACCCCUGUCCAUGCUCCUCCUCCAAAGCAGGCUGUCUGUAUGCAGGCUGUCUAUGCGAAAGGGCCUUGCCACCCCCCAUGGAGUACAAGGAGUUGUUUGAAAUGGUGAUAAUUAACCCAAUUCAAAACCACAACAGGGACUGUUGCAGUAAUGUGGCGGUGUAGGUAGAGAAGUUCCAGAUGUCAGGACUACUGGUUUAAUUCUAUAGGGCUCUCCAAGUCACAGACUCACUGGAAGCUUGUCAGCUGCUCCCCAGCUUCUUCUGAUGGCUCUCCAUCCUUCAAGAGCAUGUGAUCCUCUCCUAGGGCUACCAACCUGCAUCCUCAGAACUGUUCCCUGGGAUUCACUGCCAGGAUCCCCUGGAGCCCAUGGCACGUUCAGCUCCUGCACUGGCAACGUGGAUGUGUACCUGUGGUGCCGAAGCAUGGGGCUUAGCCUCAGACUCCCUCAGGAAGGGAAGGACGUGCAUCCUGCCUGUCCUGUGUUCCUCUCCAUGGACUCUUUCCAAGGUGUUGGUCUCCAGAAUGCUCCUGGCUCUGCUCUUCUUGGAAGCAAUGGUGAGACAUCUGUCAGUGUGAGCCCAUAGAGGGAAGCUGAGGUCUGCUCCUGCUGCUAGGAUCCAGUAACUCUUCCUGUAAGAAUGUGUUGCUUGGAUGUGAAGAGAUGCUAUCGAUCUUACAAUGGAGGUUGCAGAUGAAGGAGAAAAGGUUGGAAUUAAGCCGACAGCACUCAGCUGCUGUAAGCCGGACAUUGCAGAAUGGUGGCUUGCAUGAAGCCAGAGGCCAAGCUCUAUGGUCUGGAGCCUCACAGGGAGUCCUCCAAGUGAAGGAUGAGCCCUGAGCUGCAGGAGAGAUCUACUCCCACUAAACCAACCUCCCGAGGGGACUUACUUCGUUUGACUGGCUCCGUCAUCCUCAGGAGGAAACUUUCCUCUGCAAGAUGGUGAAAUAGUGCCCAUGUGGAAACGUUCUGACUGCAUGCGCCUGGAGUCCGGCAUUGUUGCAGAGGAGGAGGGCGGCAUAGGAUGGCUCCAAAGAAAAGAGGUCUGCAUCAGAAGGAAAACCUCCUGCCAUGCCAGCUUGCCCAGACCUAACGGUGAGACGGCCUUUCCCAGCUACAUUAAGGGCUGCUUCUUGUGGACUGGAAGUAUUGCCAAAGAGUGAGUGAUCCUUAUUAAUAUGCAUCUCCAAAAACAACAGGCAGUCUUGCACAGAUCCUCUCACACGUAUCUUUGGAUUUUGAGACAGUGGAGAGCUAUUUAUUCCCUCUCACACCAAUGUCAGCCAUAGCGCAAGAUGUCUUGAGCUGAUUAAAAAUCUCUUUAAUCAAAUGCUGGCAGGGGAAGUGUUCAGAAUGUUAGAAGGAUGACUUUGACAAGCUGCCCCUGCACUGUGAGUGACUUCAUCCAGAGGUUGGCCCGGCAGACUGGCGUGUGAUACAAAGCCUCCACUCACCUUGAUUUCCAAAGCUGCCAACAAACUGCAGUGACGAUGCUGAGAAGCCAGUAGGGCACUGUAGCCUGUGCUCAGUUCUUCUCCGUUAGAUACUGACCCCCCCAAAAAAAACCUUUGCUACAGGCAAAAUCCAUCACUCGAUUCAUCAACCCCUACCUACGCUUCAAAUUCCUAUAUCCCAAAUCCAUGGGAACGAUUUUGAACAUGAAUGUAGGCUGGAAAUCAUUGCUGUGCAGAUUGUCUGGAGGCUUUUUUUUCCCCCCUGUUCUAUGGCUGAACUGGACUUCAAAAGAAUAAAUAAAAUCCAUUCUGGUAGCACCCCCUCCUCCCCCCCCCAACCCCCCAGGAGGAGUGUACUUCUAUGGAGAAAGGGCAUAAAGAAACCUCCUGAUAUUUUAUUCAACCAGAAUUAAGUGUUUUGAUUUUGGGGAAUUCAGCUAAUUUUCUUACUCCUCAAAAUAGGUCAGCUUUGAAAUAGAAGAUGUCACGCUGUAACAAAAAAAGGGGAAUAGAUUUGUUUAGUGAAUGUAAGAUUAUACAUACAUACUUCUGGAAUUUUAACAAGCUUAUGAAUGGAAAGAAAGCAUCCAGGUUGUUUCUCAGUCAGUUAGACUUGGAUUUAGGACCGGUUUUCACUCUCCAUAAACUGCAUUUCUUUUUCACUUAGAAGAUCCCCUCCCACCACAAAAGCCCCUUCCCCUUUUGCCAUUGCUGGAAAUAAAUAGCCAUAAUAUAGCUGGAAUUAAUACAGCUACACUGAGUCAACUAAGUGCUGAAUUUUUCUUUCCCAAUGCUCUCCGGGCACCCAGACGUGCUCAAUAGGAAGUGUUGGCACUUGGGGCUACGUAUAGAAAACCAGGGUGUGUGCUGCUGGGGCUGUUAGGGAGGAAAUCUUGUGCCAGCAGCCCUCUGCUGUGGGCCUUCUCCAAGCUUUGUCUCUAUUCCCUCAUUCCUCUGCAGAUGUCCUAAGCCACAUUUUGCUUUCAUUAUGACAAAAAUUGUGCAAGAUACUCAUCUUCUUUUAUUUAUUUAUAUAUAUAUAUAUAUAUAUAUAUAUAUAUAUAUGUAUAUGUAUUUUGUAGCAUUUCUGUGUUCCUACACCUUCUCUCUUUGCGGCAUUGCUUGUGGACAUGUAAGUAGUAGGUUAGUUUCUAUUCUCACUCUGGGGGGUUGGGUUCCAAACUGUUUAUUGAGUAAUAAAAAGAGAAAAUGGCGAGUCAUUGCCCAGGGAUAAUGUGCUAAUAAUUUUAUGACUGGACAAAUGGUUGCAACAGCCCACAAAUGGCUGUAGGCAGGAAACCUGGUGUCUAUUGCUGACAGAGCCACCCCCAAGGAGAUAAAACCUCACUUUUGGUGAUCAAAGUUGAUGCAACAACUGUGAUCUAUUAAAAAUUACUUUGGAGAUGGGUAAGGCAAUCAUUAUUCCUCUUGGAGGAGAAGUGGCGGACAUAGACUUUUUGGGAAGUGUUUAGAAGAGAGCUCUACAUGGGAUGAAUGCAACAGACCACCGUGGCUGCUUGCGCUCGGAGCCACGCGGCGCGCAGCUGCAGGGCUGCAGGCUGGGGAUGCUUGGAGAAACAAAGAUUAAAGGGGGGUUAGUGCUAUCAGGCAAACACGAAUCAUCCCAGAGAUAACAAAGGGUUGAAGUUUAUUUAGCCACUAACCGUAUGGCACUCAAGUGCGUUAGCCUGGCUUGACUGCUGCAGAGCAUGGAGCCGGAAUGGCUGCUGCAGGGCGUACACCAGGAUACACCCUGUCCCACUCUGGGCUGAUGUCCCCUGUCUGAUUACUCAAGGAGGAUGUCCCCCUCCUGGGGAUGGGGCAGUUGUCCCAUCGGCACCAAUUUCUUCCCGCUGUUGUGGAGUUUGGUGGGGAAGGAUGAGCAGGGCCCUUGUGAGGUCUCUCUCUGCCCGUCUCCCAGCAGGCAGGAGGAGCUGUACCUCUUCCAAAGCCGCAGCAGAUCCAGCCCUCGAAGCGGGCAAGAAGCCAUGUGAUGGGGCGUAGCUGCUCGCAGCUGCCAAGACCUCACAUUUGUAUGUUAGUGAUGCAGAUAGGAUCUCAUAAACCCGUCUCCAUACUGCUUUACUGCUGAUUUAACGAUCAGAGGAAGAACUUGACUGUUUAUUAAAACAUUAGACAGUAAAGUUUAACAAUAGACAGUAAAGGGUUUUGUUUUUCCAUCCCUCUGAUUGUUAAAGCAACAACACAUAGGCCUGGAGAGGGGCCUGCUGCUAACCUCAGGAUGAUGGGAUGGGGCCAUGAAGCUCCUCCAGAAGGCAGGAUAGAGCAGCUGGCAUUCUGGCAAAUCCCAUAUCUGAAGAAGGAAAUCUGAUGUAGGGUAUGGGUGCGUGCCCCAUCACCGGAGGCGCUGAGGGCUGGGCUGGAUGGGGCCCUGGGCAGCCUGAGGUGGUGGGGGGCAGCCAGCCCAUGGCAGGGGUAGGACUGGGUGGGCUGUAAGGUCCCUUCCAACCCAACCAUUCUGUGAUUCUAUGAGUCUGACUGCGAGAAGGGGCAAUCCAAUUGCUCUGUGGGCAAGAGUCUCGUGGUAGGGCUCCUGUUGUUCAGCAGACCCACAAACACCGGCAAAGGGAGCAGAUGGAAACAAAACUCGCAAGGCAACAGCAUUAUUCAGGACAGUGCCAACAAAAGCUGACUGCGAAGAAACGCCGAAGGAUUGCAGCGUGCAGGUGAUGAAAUGGCAGAGGAAAUUCAUUGUUGGUAACUGCAGAUAGAGAAAAAUCAGCAGUGGCUGUACCCAUACAGCAGCACCAUCUCAAUGAGCUAUUGCCUCUCUGGAAGGAGGCUGUGGAGGCAAGGCAGGCUGUUUCUGGAAACGUCAGCAGUGAUCACAAAGGCAGUGGCCAUUCUAGGAGUUACGGAGGAAGAAAUGGAGAGUAAAACAGGCUGCCAUUGUGCUGCUGGGUGCAUCCACAGUGCAUCCCCAUCCGAGGUGCUGCCCCUGCUUCUGGUGGCCGUGUCUUGGGGCCAAGGGAAGAUGGAAGAGGAGUUACAGGGACUUCAUAGCAGGACCUCGAGAACUUGAGCUGAAGUGGACAGAUCUGGAGGAGAAGAUGAGAGGAAGAAAGCCCUGGGUGGCUUGGAGGAGUUGGACAUGGAGCUGGACAAGCAUCUGCUCUGUGUCUGUGCUGAUGCUAUUUAGAAACCCCAGCCUUGGCUCUGCUUGACAUUUGGUAAUGCUGAACUGGGACAGCACCCAAAAAACCCCAUCCGUGUUGGACCGUCAGUAAGAGGUGGCACAUCUGACCAAAACCACGUCGCCAUUUGCUUCCUUGACAGCACAUCCUACCUUAUCCCCUGUCCUUGUCCUGCUGACCCCCGUUCCCAGCCUCCCUUGCUCAAUUUCAGCAGCAUCUUGGGAGGCCCCUUCAGCUGCAAGCCCCUCGCUUGGGAAAGAAAGUGGGGUUGGAGGGGGGGGAUCAGAGCCCAGCUGUGGGCUGGGGCAGCAGGCGAGUGCUUUCCAAACGCUGACUGCUGUUGGUGUAUUUCUGCUGGUGAGGAUGCAGCUGGCAGCGUUUGUGUGCAUGCGUUUAUACACACACACACACACACACACAUACUCACCUCCACACGAGUACACGACUAAAAUACAUAUAUUUCCUCACCCCGCAUCUUUCUGCAAGCUGCAAAAAUACAAAAGAAUAAAAUUAAGUCUCUUAUCGCUGCUAAGUCAUCAGAAACUAAUAUUGCAUCUACCGGGCAGUUUUCCCCCUCCCCCCCCCCCGAACCAUCUCCACUUCGCAAUCCUAAUUCAAUGAUUCUUUCUGUAGCUCUUUACAUUCUAUUAUUUAUAAGAAACAAUAUUCAGCCCUCCCCUGACAGUGUUUGCAGGGCUGCGGGAAGCAGUGCGGCAGAAAGGUGGUAGAACAAUUUUGGUUAUGUUUCCAUAGCUACCUAGCUGCUAAAUGUGGUUUAUUCCAUUUUAAAGUCAACCAACACACACCCGCACGCACACGCACAAACCACCAGAUGAAGUGUAUUCAAACUAAUCCCUGGGCCGCCUAUUACAGCCUAAUAUCCCUGCCAUUUGUAUAUUUAAAGGGAUAGUUGCUGCAGAAAUAAAUGGCAGGGCAGCGCUCUCGCUGGCUAGAGCAGGAUGAUCAACAUAUUGUUUCUUUCUUGCUCUCCUCUCCGACGUGUGUGUUCCACUCCAUCCCUGUAAUAUUAUUAUGGAGAUUUUUACCGAGGGCUGAGAGCUGAGGAAGUCGGAGGUAGGAUGGUGUCCUCUCGUGGCAGUCAGCAUCUCUGCAGCCUGAUGGUAGCCGUGCCAAGAGAGAGCCGAGCCUGGGCUCUCCUGGGCAUGCACGGCUGUCUUAGGGACAAAACUCUUGGAGCAGAGCUUCCCACCUCCCCUAGUGCACCCAAAGACGAGGAGCCUCCUGCUUCUGCUCCACGCCAGGCUGGAGGCUGCUGCUUGCUCUUGCUUUCCCUGCGUGAAAGAAGAACCCUUGGGAAAGGAGUGGUGGGUACCAGCUUUGCAGAGCGGAGGAAGUUUGUCCCAUGGAAGUGAGCAUCUCUGAGCUGCCGUGGGUUGGUGGAGAACAUCUCAGAGCUUGUAAUCGUGAGUACCGGCACUGCUUGUGCCUGCUGUGAGGGCGGGAGGGGGGGGUUGAGGGUGAGGAAGAGGAGGCUGAAGGUGGCCUUUGGCAAUGCUGAGCCCGUCAUGGGGAGAUGCCACAAGGAGUGGUGCAGAGAGGAGCCUCUCCCAGUGCCCAACACCUGCUGCUCCACCUGCAUACCACUACAGCUCUGGCUUAUCCUCAGCGAAGGGCUGCGAGGAAUACAGAGCUCACAGUGCUGCUCGUUUGCAGAGUGCAUUCUGAUGGCUCAGCUUGACAUACCCUGCAGCAGGCAGUGGCUGCUCCUGCGUGAGCUGAGCUGGCCAUGCAGCCUCCCCAGCCCCAUUGACAUGCCGGGGCUUAACCCUCUCAUACCCACAUACUGUGCCCAUGUAGCUUGUAGGGUGUCUGUCCAUCCGCCUUUGUGGGAUGUCUGUCCAUCCAUCUUGGCCUGAGCUGGGUCCCUUUUGCUUCCUGAACUUGCUCCAGAUUCAGGCAGCUGUGUGAGCCCCCACGCAGUCCCAUUGCCACAGCCCUGCUGUCCCAGCUGUGGCUGCCUUUCCAGGGCAGGAGGGUGCUGAGCUGUGGGGCUGGCUCAGGAUGGGUGGGUGAGCAUGGCUUACCCCUCAGCACCGCACAGCUUGGUGGUCUGCCUGGCAAAUCUGACCAAAAUGCAAAUCUGAACCCGUGUCAACCACCCUUACCUAUGUCAUGUUCCACCACUAUGUGAGAUCCCACCGUGGACCAAGAGAUGCCAUUAUGAACACGUGUCCAGCAUGCAAUCAAGGCAUGAACUCAUGGUGCUCAUUAUUGGCUUCUCUCAAAGUUUCUGGACAUUUGUCACUGUUUCUUUCUCUUAGGCCAGGAGGGGCUAGUUGUGAAUUGAUUCCCAAUGGCCACAGUGCUCUCCUGUGCUGUCAUUAUGUGUGAUCAUAAGUAAUAACAACAAUCACCGUGUCACUGCUUCCGAGGCAGGCUUUGUCUCUCUGCAUUGGCACCCUUUCAUCUCCAGCUCCCCAGCACGCUGCUGCUGGCAGGUCGGUGUGUUUGUUGGGUUGGUGGUGACAGGUAAUAAUCUGAAGCCUGCAACGUCUCAGCAAGCAGCUGAAGCAUUUCUUCUGCCUUUUCUGCCCCUUCACCCAGCAGUGCUGGGCAGGGGACUCGCAGGACCUGACUGAGAUAGAUCCUCUUCCCAUUGCCCUGGGGAAUGGCAGAGUUUAUAGCAGCAACACAUCAGGCUGAGAUAUCCAUCCAGCCGUCCCCUCCGGGUUAAGGAGGGUUCUUUAUUUUUUUCUUAAUGGGUUCAAUGUUUUACAGCUAACGUUCAAAUAGCAGCUUAAGAGCUUAAAGAACGAAACAGAAGGAUGUGUUGGCACGUCAGGAUGUCCUUCCUCCUCCUGCCUGCCAUGCUCUGCCUGGUGUUAACCCAAGGAAAAGUACCAAUAAACUGUGAGCCUCCUCUGAGCGGUGCAUCCUAUUCAUGGCAUUCCUUCUAUUCUUGUCCAUACCAGCCCAAGGGUACUGCUAUUGCUAUCACUUUCCCUUUAUUUAUAUGCGCUCAGCCACCAGCCCUUAAUAUUCUGUAACACGAGAGCACACCUUCCUGAUCACUUUCCUUCAUUAAGAAAACUUCAUUUCAGCGCUGACGGGGAAAUGAAUUGGGUGAAGGAAAACAAACCACCCUAACGUAACCAUAAGCUUUCUGGUUGGAUUAAAUAUUAAAAUUAAUAAUCCAGCACUGCAUUCAGCCUUGUAUUUAUGUUAAUAUUUAAUUCAAUAAAAGCCCACAUUUUAGAACACUUUCCCAUUUGUUUAAAGCUGCAGAUGAAAUUGUGGUCUCGGCAUUAUGUAGAACAAUCCGCAGCUGACUGCUUUAUGGUAAUGAGGAGGAAUGGCAGCUCCAGAGCCCUCCACCCAGGCAGGAGGGGAAGAUCCAGAAGCGAGAGGAUGUGAGGCUGCUGGGGAAUGUGAUUCUUGCUCGGCUCUCUAGGAGAGAGGCCGUGUGAUGGGCAAUGGUGGUGCAAAGCCCAGGGGCAGUGAGCGCUCUGUGUGUGACUCUGGGACCCAUUUGCAUGCCACAUUGCACAGGGGAGCAGCCAUGCAGCAGCUCAAGGAUUUGGGGAAUCAUAGAAUUGUUAAGGUUGGAACUCUAGGUCAAGUCCAACUGUCAGCCCAUCACCAUCAUGCCCACUAAACCACGCCCCUGAGUGCCAUAUCCCUGUGCUUCUUUACCGUGUCUACACGUUUCUUGAGCACCUCUGCUGCUAAAGAGAGAAAACCAACAACCUUUUGAUUAAUUUUUAACUUCCUGUCUGUUAACUUCAUGGGUGCAACAGUAGAACUCCAGGAGGCUUCAGUUUGUGUUAUAGUCUUCCCAGCCAUCACUUCCCCAACAAGUCCUUGCCCUUGGAAAUGGUAAGUAGACAAGUCCUGGGCUGGAGAUGCAUCUCGGCUUUUCAGGACAAGGGCAGGACAAGGUAAGAGCAUCACGCAAGGGUGGUGAGAUUGGACCCACACUGUGUUCUCCUCCCAUGGCCCUGGGACACCCUGGGUUGGUUCAGCCUCACACCAGGUGAGAUGCUGCGAAUGCUGAGCUUUACCAGAACCAUCCCAUUCUCUUCUUCAAUGCUAACACCUAGUUGGGGUUAGCCCAAAGGAUCAUCCAUUGCCCUGGAGGGCUCAUGCUGCAUGCUGAAAAGCAAGUGGGAAGGACUUUGAGGUCAUGCUUGGUUGGUCUCAUUUUCCAAGGGACCUGUGAGCAGAGCUCCUGGCAGAGGCUGAUGAUUGGGUUUUGCCAAUGGGGAGAUAUUAUGAAAAAAUAAAGAAAGAAAAGAAAGAAAGAAAGAAAGAAAGAAAGAAAGAAAAGAAAAGCUUUCCCAGGAUAGCUGCAAUUGAAAUACAGAAUAAUUGCCUGACAUCACAUGCAGAAAGAAGGUGGAGCACGUAGCAGUGAUCAGUAAAAAUGAAACGCUUUGCAGGUGGAGUACACCUGAGUUUUCUGCAGUCCAGAUAUGUACUCAGACUUCCUGGAAUCUUUUGGGGCCUAAUUAAAUUCAAAGGGAUUUAAGCAAAAUCUGCAUGGAAGAUAAUACUUUUCUUUCUAUUAAGGAACUGCUUAAUAAAACAGAUUAUGUGUAAAAUAGAAAUAUGGGCCCUGCAACAGGAAAGUGAAAAGACACUAAUGAGCAGUGUCUGAGUGUUAAUGAAUUGUAUUAGCAUGCCAUUACCUGCAAAUAUUAUAAAUAGACCGACUGGCUUUGCAUUCCCUUCCCUCCCAAGAACUGUAUGUGAUCUCUAGGAGUGGCUUGCUGGGUUUCUGGGAGCUGUGUUCACCCUUUGAGCCUACAGUGGAGGUGGAGAUGAGAACGUUGACUUUUCGUUUCACUACAUCAUGCAUUCCUUUGGGCAUUCUGAAGCCACCAGGGGAGAGAAGAUGGGGGACGCUGCAUUUUAUUUGGCUUAGCCCAUAGGCCACAUUGGGAAGGAGACAAAACAGCUGCGUGCUGCGGGAGGGUAAGAUGGGAUGGGGUUGUGGCAAACCCACCCCUGUGCUUUCCCCAUCACAGCGAUGGACAAGUCCAGAGAUAUUCUGGGUAGAGAAGCUGGGAGGAGAUGCUACCAAUAAUUGGGAGGGAUGUCAAGAAGAAAUGAUGUAUUUAAACAUACGGACAAGGAUACCUCACCCCUCACCAGCCAUGUAAGGGUUAGUUGUGUGCUCGUUUUGCUGCUCUCUGCAGUCCAUGCAGAAGCAAGUUUCUUGCAGAAGUCUUGGCCCGAAGAGGUGUCCAUGGCAGAUGGGUUCAGCUGUUCUCUGGAGGGUUCUCCUCCUGUUGAUAACAGAGAGAGUGUAGGCAAGUUUGAGACCCAGUACAUGACUUUCAGUCAGUGCUGUUAGCAGAGACAAGCCCUCUUCCCUCCUGGAUGAGGUGCAAACAGCUGUAAUUCUGCAAAAUUCCAUGUGGGUUAGUGCUCAUUUCUUAAACAGCCCAAGCUGUCAGGAAUAGCCGAUGUGUGUGAGGAAGAGGAGUGAAGGAGCUGCUGCUUUCUGGCUGCAAUUCGGAUCUCCUGCUUCGACUUCAGAGCCAACAUCCAGACCUCCUGCUCGCCAGGGGCUGUUCCACUGGGUGCUGCAGACCCAGAGUGCCUCAUAAAUCACCGCUGACUGCCGGGAUCGCUUUGGCCGCUCUUCCCCAUCGUCCUGUCUGCAGGAAUGGGCUGCACGUUUCCACGUGGAUCGGGUCUGAAUUGGCUGUCUGAAUCCAGAGAUUAAAGAAACAGCAGCCUCUCUCUCUCCUGUAACUGGCCCGAGAAUCCAUGAGCAUCCUCAGAAGUCUGAAGAGAAUGGGCAUCCUGUCUAUAUCCAAGGCAGGUAAUCACUGUAAAGGGUGGCUGGAAGGGCAAAAGCUGCAUUUCCCCACGCUGGGGGCUGCGGAGGAGGCAGAGGCAGAUACCUGGGGCUCCCUGGCAGCGCUUGCUGAAGAUCAGCCUUGAUCAGAACAGGUCUUCUCACAGGAAACAUCAACUUUUUGUCAAAAAAGCCUGAAGAUAAAUAUUCUUGGAUGAAAACCUAUAAAAAGCUCAGACUGACAAACUAUUUUUUUUAGGCACUUCUUUUUCUCCCAACAAGAAUAUAUCUGUCAAGAGAAACAGAUGUUCUCUAUGAAGAAUCUUCUUUAAUUACAAGUCUGUCAAAAAGAGAAAUCUUCAAGUGUCUCAAGCCUCAAAUCUGCGAAUGGCUUCAGCCCUGGGCAAGAAAUCACCCCUUUCCUGAGCAGCCCCAGUGCCCUUUCUCAGCUCUUGUCAUGUCAUCCCUGCAGCUGCACCAAUAAACUGGGCAUUUUUGGAGUUUAGUUUUCAGAUGAGCCCGCUUCAAAUCAAUGGAGCUGCUGCUUUUCGUGACUCCUGGGAAUAAGAUGGCGUGGAAACAACCCACGGCCAUGCCCAAAUAAGAAAACUAAAAGAAUUAUUGGUUUUGGUCAACCUGGAACAUGGCUCUUUUUGCCCUGACAUUUUCCUAGAGGAAAGUGAAACUCUUCAUCUACAGAUUCAAAAAGUCCCAAAGGCACUCUGUCAGACAUCUCCCAACGUGCUCUCUCAGUUAUUGCUGGAUGGAUCAGAAGUUCUCCAGGGAGCAGUGAAGAUGUUUUUGCGGGCUACAUAACCUCAAAGGCUGAAAAUACUCAAUUCCAGUGUCUGCUUCUUGCUUCCAGAGGAGAUAUCUGCUCUUUGUCUUCAUCUUCAUCGUCAUCAUCUUUGUCUUUGUCUUCAUCAUCUUUGUCUUCAUCUUUGUCUUUGCUUUGUCUUUGUCCUCCUUCUCCUUCUUUCUCUCUCUCCUCUUCCUCUUCCUUUUCCUCCUUCCUCCAGCUCCUAAAUCCCCACCUUCCCUCCUUUCCUUCUCCCCAUCAUGCAUUGCAUGCUGAAUGCAGGAGGCUCUCAAAGGCAAGAGUCGGCCUGGGACACUCUUACCCACAAUAGCAGUGGUGAACAGAACCCAGGUUUUCAGCCAGGAAAUUUCACUGGUAAUCUCCUGCGAGGGAGGCACUCCCAUUUUUCAUGAUGGUUGGCCCUUGCGGGAUAUGGAUGAAAAGAGAAAGCAUUUCAUUUGCUCUUUGAAAACUGGAGCUAUAGAUCAAGGCCCUGCUCAGUCCCCUGAAGACUAGAAAUGGGAUUUUUGCAAGAAUUGAGGCUAUCCUCUCUGAAAACUAAAACAGUUAUCUACACUUUCAUCGAGAGGUCAGCAGUAGAGAUUUUUCUCCAACAGCUGGAUAAAUCCAGGCUGUUAGUGCCUCUCCUUCCCACUGUUCUCUGUUAUUGCUUUUCAUUACGUGAAGGGUGAGGAACAAGCAAAUACCUCUGCUUUCUAGCUUUGCCCUUGCCCGUUUGUACAAAGCAGCCAAACAUUUCCUUCUGACACUCAGGACCCAAGCACCUUUGGUGUCUGAUAUUUCUCCUUGGAUGCCGUGGUCUGGAUGCAGUUGCUCAGGGCUGCUUAAUCCUACCAGAUGGCAUAGAAAUGUUAUUUUUUGGACACAGGCACUCCUCUUGCCGGGUAUGGGUGCCACGGGACCAGGGCAUCCUUUGUCACCUGGACCCAUUGUGAUCUCCUGUAACACUGGGCAGGAGGGUUUGCGGAAUCACGCUGCAUCCUGCGUCCCUGAGCCUUGCAGCCAUAAAUCCUUUGCCUCUGCCACAACUGUGAUUGAGCCUGCCUGGCUUAAUUUAUUUCUCCAGAGCCCACACAGUUAUGGUAGAGAUGAUUGCCUGCUCAAGGAGCAGCACUUGGGAUGAAAUCUUUUCCUCUUGAGAGUGCUGCUGGAAAAACAAGGCAGUGUCCGUGAGCUGCCAGCAAUCCCCAUGUAGGCAUUGUCUUUGCUUGGCCACUUCUUUGCGGUGCUCUCAUCCUUCCUGACCUCUCCCCUUCUCUCCCUUCCUUUAAGUCCUUUUCUCUCUGUUUCAUUUCUACCUAUGUCUCUUCCUCUUCAGGUUCCUCGCUAGGCACUGGAGCUGAUUGCAGUGGUGAUCCAGCAAAUCACAGUAGUGAUGCUGCUGAUGGAAUAACUCCUUGGGGUUCCACGCGGUUGCUGUGCGGGCACUGAGUUUCAAACUGCAGAAAAGGAGCAGGAAAGCCUGAUAUUUGGGUGCAUCAACUGGAGCUUUCAUCCCCACCCCAGGGAGAUGGGUUUUGGAGCCCUAGCAGUCUGCCCACCCUAUGGACAUGGCCAGAUACCCCCAGUUCCUUCCCAAGCACUGCUACCCAGAGAGGUGCUCUGUCCUGGCUAUGGGAGUUGAGCACGAAUAACUCACAAAUAAUGGAAAUCCCCACCAUGUGCCCCCAGCAUUGGCACGGCUCAGAGCCCUGCAAGAAGCGCGCUGCCUUGUUUGUCACCUGAAGCACUUGGAAAAAUUACACAAAUCCAUCAAUGUAAUGAAUCUUCUCAGCAGUGGCGAAUAGACAGAGACAGACAGGCACUCAGCUGAAACAAGUCAUCUUUAAAAAUUAAUACAAAAUAAACAGCUGGCCUUUCGCUCCGCUUCCAGGUGGUGGCUGCGUGGUUUGGGCGAGGGCUGGGCAGGGAUCAAUGAUGGUUCCCAAUGGGAUCACGUCCCUGGGGCAGGGAAGUGUCCUCUGCCGUGUCCCUGUCACUGUCACAGUGUCACCUCCAUCUGCUGCUGCUCCAGGAAUGGUGGUGCAGCGCGGCAGUCAGUGUUGCACUGCGUGAGUGACUGCUUAAGAAACAGCCAAAUCUUUGGGAAUGCCAAAGCCUCAUCACCUCCCUACAGCCUUGCCAGGCUUCUGCCAGCCCUCUGGGCUCUCACAUCAGUUUGUCAGUGUCUGAUGGAGCUUGUACACUCCUCAGAGGACAGGCUGAGCUUGCUCUCCUGCUUGUCACGAUGUGGGCUCCAUAAAUAAUUAACAGCGGUGCUGCUUCUGCCCUCGAGCUUUCAUUUCAUUACCCAGGAAUAACAUACCCACCUAUAUACGUGUGUAUGUACAUGUCUGCGUGUAAUACGCAUCCAUAUGUACUUACAUUGCUUAAACAUCUGUUUCACCGGCCAGCCUCUCUGCUUUUCCUUCGGCCAUGGCUCUGUCUCCCUGCUGGUCCCAAGGGCAGGCAAGCAGCAGAAGGCGCUGCUCUCGACCGUGAGCAUCCCACCAGUGCUCCAGCUGCUCCUGCUCUGAGGCCAGGCUAUUUACGAGGUACCCAUGGGGCUGCCCUUGCCCUGCAGAGUGUGGGGAUGGAGAGCGGGGAGGAAGACGGAUGGAUCCUGAAUUGAGGUGAAUUUAUGGGGCUUUGCGAUUCCUGCUGCUGUAUGUCUCCGAGAAAUGACACCGCCACUUCAGGAGCAGAGAUUAAUCUGAGCCGGCAGGAGAAGGACAAAACAAAUCAUCUACUGCAGGAAUCUCAUUUGAUGCCUGUUAGUAAAAGCACUGCGAUGAAUGGCUUUUGUAAAGACCGCGUAGUACAGGCUUUUUUUUUUUCCUCCCUUUUCUCCAUUCGUCUGCAAAUUGAGGUCUGUGAGGUGUGUGGUGGAGGCACCCCAGGGUCACUCAUGGCCAGGCACAGGACAAGGACUCCCAGCAGCUUUGUGCACUGUGAGACAGGAGAGCAAAAAAGGGAAGGCAGAGCUCCCAGCGCGUCGUACCCAAGGAAGGAAUCCUUCGCUUUUGUUUUUAAAAGGGCAUUGAUUCUCACGUCCUGCAGAACACGGGGUCGGGGCAGCCUGCAGCCCCAGACAGAACAUCCCAGUGCUGCUCUGCAUCCCAGCCAGCAGCAGCUGGAUGCGGCCCAGUGGGAGCAGUACCAGCACCGAGCACUCCUCCCGCACGCCGCUGUGCAUCCCAGCUCAAUACAGAAUCAAUUGGAUUGAUCUUUUUUUAAGGUGCAGCCUCCGAACGGCUGAGACUGUGAGAGACGUGGCUAAGCACGCACUUCCACAAAAUAAUUUGUCAGGCCCCGCUGUAGAAACCUAAUGAUGGCUGUAAUUUAUUGCUGACAGACGAUAUUUAUCACCGCAGCAUCCCCUCUUUCUCUUCCUCUGUCUCGUUAGGAAUGGCAUCAAUAAUGUUUAUUGUAGCUUUUAAUUUUUUAUCGCUGGUAUUCUUACCUGUGCUGCUGAGGGCUGCAGGAGAUGGGAAAGGCGUCAGAGCAGAUGGAGGCUCAGCUCUGUGCUGAAGGGUGAGCGAUGAAGGCUGGAAGUUCCUCCUGCGUGCCCAUGCAGGGAGCGUGCAGUGCCAGAGAGCACCCCGAUAGCAGGGAAAAGUGAGCUGUUCCCAUAAAGCUUACUCCCUCUCUUCUGAGCCUUUGGACCUGUGCAAGGGAUGCUCAGACCCAGCAAAGCAGUGGCAUUGCUUUGGUUUUCCCCAGACGCUGCUCCCACGUGGGGCUGGAGAAGGAACAUCACCCCUCCGCUGCUGCACCUGCAUUGCUGCGAUCAUCUCACACCUGAUGAUGCCCACAAGCCCUGUGGUCACAGUUCUUGUCCCUGAAAGCAACCAAAACCCCAACUCCAAUCCUGAAAUCUCCUUUUUUUCCCCUCGUUUUCCUACAGUUUUUCCUACCCUUGAGGAAAUGUGCUGCACCAGGUUGUGAUGCCCUAUAAACCAGCACUUCCCAGAGGGGAUUUCUUCCCCCUUUCCAGACGUGAAUAAUUACCCAGGCAGAGGCUGUUCCAGCCUCGUUACAGGAGCCUCUCAGACUAGCCGGUCAUUUACAGAUUAGAUAGAUGUUGCCCACGUUGUUCAUAACUGAUUAUGGGAUUGGCAGUUUGGCUCUCACCCAAAAUUCAGAGUCCUGAUUUAGCAUAAUUGGAAGUGAAUGGCGGAGCAGGCUGGGGGAUGGGGAUGGUGCCUGCUGCUGAUUUCCUAAUGCCGGCUUUGGGGAUCCCUGACAAGCUGCGGAGUGCUCUUUAUAGGGCAAUAACGUUUACGGUGUGGGUUGUCUGGGGGAGGAACUCCUGUGAUGGCAGCAGCCACCUCCUGCACGUCCCAGAUCGAAGCUGGAGAAAUCAAGAAUACCAGAAAAGCAACGAGGAUGAUAUUAAAAAGUAAUCCCUUCUGUGUCAAGGUGUGGGCUUUUUUGCUUAUAGAAAUUGUUCUUCUGCAUUAAUCUAUUCUACUUUGUGCUAUCCUGUCCUUUUACUGACUUCUGUUCCUCCCUUAGUUUAUCCCACUAAAUGUUGGCGUUCCCACUGUUGACCCUUCAUGCACCCAUAGCCUUCCUUGCACUUAUUCUCACAGCCCCUCUCUGCUGGAGGCUCCAAGAGCACAGUGCAAUCCAUUGUGCAAUCCACAAUGCAAUCCAGUUUGUCC
rnacentral:lncRNA from 1 species